AACGAACGCUGGCGGCAUGCCUAACACAUGCAAGUCGAACGAGACCUUCGGGUCUAGUGGCGCACGGGUGCGUAACGCGUGGGAACCUGCCCUUAGGUUCGGAAUAACUCCCCGAAAGGGGUGCUAAUACCGGAUAAUGUCUUCGGCCCAAAGAUUUAUCGCCUUUGGAUGGGCCCGCGUUGGAUUAGCUAGUUGGUAGGGUAAAAGCCUACCAAGGCGACGAUCCAUAGCUGGUCUGAGAGGAUGAUCAGCCACACUGGGACUGAGACACGGCCCAGACUCCUACGGGAGGCAGCAGUGGGGAAUAUUGGACAAUGGGCGAAAGCCUGAUCCAUCAAUGCCGCGUGAGUGAUGAAGGCCUUAGGGUUGUAAAGCUCCUUUACCCGGGAUGAUAAUGACAGUACCGGGAGAAUAAGCUCCGGCUAACUCCGUG
rnacentral:rRNA from 1 species